rnacentral:lncRNA from 1 species
GGAACAGAAAUCCUCUGGUGAGAUUGGAGCAAAUAAUCUUGAGAGGGCUUCUUGGCGUGCCGUGUACGUCAUCUCAAGAAUUUUUGUAAUGGACUCUCACUAACGGAGGUUGAAUGACUGGUCCAUAUAUACACUGUAACGCCAAGCUUCCAACCCACCGAGGCCGAAUUUGGCAAAAGUUAAAGGACUAAUGGAUUCAAUCGCAGAUUCUUGAUGACUUGUAUAGGUCCUGUUUCAGCUUUCUGAAUGUUCCGCACAAGUCCGGACUCCAUCGUUCAACUGUUUUCCUUGCCUUUUCUGUUCAGCGCA